GCGCGCCUCCCUCACGGGCUUCUGCCUGCAUGGGCGCUGACGUUUCGAACGAAAGCGCCUGGGUUUUUUUGGUGUUUGGGCUUUUUUUAGGUUCUCUCAUGACGCGUAAACCGCGCGGUGCUGUUUCGGCUUCGAGGCUGGGCUUGCCAGAGCCGUGCCGCAGUCUUCCCAGCAGUGCCGCUGGCAGGGUUCUCCUGGCAAACCCUCAGGUUGUUCUGGAUCAACUCAUUUUCAGCUAUAGCUGCUUCUUUAGGUUCUCUCAAGAGGUGUAAACUGCAUGGUUGUUACUUGUUUCAGCUCGGGACUGGGGUUCCCGAGAAGUUUCCCUCCUGCCACCAUCUGAACCCAUUACUCCUUGUCCUAUCACUACAGUGCCUGACAAAGAGUCCCUUUCUGGCUCUCCUGUAGCUCCUUCAGAUACUGGGAGCAGAGUGUGGAUAUUUACAAGUUAAAAACAAGGCUUCUUUAUCCAGAUGACAACACUAGUGGCUGAGCAAUCAUUUUCAUCUGGUCAUAACAAUUUGCUCCCUUUGGAGCUUUUCCCUGGAGACAUUCCAUAUACAGAAGACAGCACAGCAUUGCUACCAAAGCCUGUUUCCCUCCUCUAGCAAGGACUGUUUGAAAGAACAGUAGAAAAAAACCAAGACAUUCAGAACCAAACUACUGAAAAAUGGUAUUUUUGUUCAAUUAAACUUUGUUUUCCCUAUUGGGGGUGUAUUUGGAAGUUACACAGACACUAAAAAUAUGUUCUGCAGAAAAGCCUCAAACUGCCCCCUUUGCCCAAAGCAUAUGGAAACUCCUGUUCCCAUUCUCCAACAAACAAAAGCUCACAGAGUCCUAAGUUUUCCUAAUAUUUCCAAGAAAACAGAUUCUCUACACAGAGUCCCCCAUCUCUGAUUA